rnacentral:rRNA from 1 species
GACGAACGCUGGCGGCGUGCUUAACACAUGCAAGUCGAACGAUGAAGCCUAGCUUGCUAGGUGGGUUAGUGGCGAACGGGUGAGUAAUACGUGAGUAACCUACCUUUAACUCUGGGAUAAGCCCGGGAAACUGGGUCUAAUACCGGAUACGACCAAUCUCCGCAUGGGGUGUUGGUGGAAAGCGUUAUGUAGUGGUUAUAGAUGGGCUCACGGCCUAUCAGCUUGUUGGUGAGGUAACGGCUCACCAAGGCGACGACGGGUAGCCGGCCUGAGAGGGUGACCGGCCACACUGGGACUGAGACACGGCCCAGACUCCUACGGGAGGCAGCAGUGGGGAAUAUUGCACAAUGGGCGCAAGCCUGAUGCAGCGACGCCGCGUGAGGGAUGACGGCCUUCGGGUUGUAAACCUCUGUUAGCAGGGAAGAAGAGAGAUUGACGGUACCUGCAGAGAAAGCGCCGGCUAACUACGUG